rfam:TPA: Bos taurus chromosome 4, whole genome shotgun sequence.
UCCCUGGUGGCUCAGACGGUAAAGCGCCUGCCUACAAUGCAGGAGACCCAGGUUCCAUCCCUGACUUGGGAA